GCGGGACCCCAACUCCAGACCGGGCGGGGUGACUCGGCAGCCCCGAGGUCUGAAGGACUGGAAGAGCGAUCGGGUCCCGGAUGUGUGGUUAAAGAGCACCACAUUCACCCCGAAAGACUGGAGGUUUGCAGACCGGCAGGAGGCCCCUGGGGCCGGGCGUGGUCUCUGGACUAUUUUAAUGGGCCUUUAUGUCAGUCAUCCUCUGUGGGUACUUUUAGUUCUGCUGAAGAAUUUACAAAGUGUUUUCUACGGCAAGAGUUCUUAAAAAGGAAUGGUCACUUCUGCACCUUAGAAGUGCUGCCGAAGCCCUGCAGGGACAAUGACAGUAAAACCUUGGUCUGCCGGCAUACUUCCUUCCGGAAACAGGCUUGUAAUCCAAACCCCUUGUAUAUCAAAGCAAAUUUCCCCAUAGGAUAUAAUGGAAACCCAGGUGAUUCGUUCCACAGCCCAAAAUACUCAUAUGGGGAUGAUUACAAUACUGUAAUAUAAUGUAAAAUAAUAAGGGAAUAAAGAAAAGUAAACACAUUAACCUGCACUUGCCUUUGGAAACUUGCCUGGCCGGUGUGAGGGAGACGGGAGGAGGGUUAUUGUGUAGGACUUUCGAAGUCACCAGCUCACUAAUGGAAUCCCUGCUGUCUAUUGGCUGAAUGGAAGCUUUUCCUUUUCAUGCAACUUUAACAAGAAGCCUGUCCAAUGACACUGGCUUUUGCCUCCUUUUGAGGAUUUCGUGGAAAUGUGACAUUGCCUUGUCAUUAAAUUCAUUGCUUACGUGGCUACAGCCUCUUGGGGUGGUGCUUUUCUGUAAAAUUUUGCAUUGUUUCUCACCUUUUACACAUCUCCCUAAAAUCAUUUGAAGUGAGGCAUUUCUCUACUUUUUUCUCCUCUACCUCUGCAGAUGAGUUCUCCUUAACCUCUGGCUGUUGGGAGAGAGAGAGAGAGGGAGGGAGGGAGAGAGAGAGAGGUGACAUUAGGUGUCACCUACCACUCCUAUUGCAAGACAUUGCUCAUAAAUCAAGAUAAAAUGUAAUGUUUACUCAUCUUGCAGAACAUUAACAGAACAAGUUACUCACAGUCCCAGGUUUUGCUGUUCUCUUGUACCUGACCGUUGGCCUAAAGAUUUCACCUGCAAAUGGGCAGAGUGCAAAUCUUACAUAACUUCAUCACUCCAUGGGGGUGGGGCUUGAUGUUGGCCACGUAGAUCUGGGUGAUAGUGUGAGUGGGG
rnacentral:lncRNA from 1 species